CCCAGCCCGCGAAGUUUUCCCCCUCAAAAUCACAAGGAUUCCGCCGUCCCACGCUCCAUUCGUUCCCCACCCACGAAAUCCCUAGAUCUCUCCUGCUGUUCCUCACGCACGCCGGUGCCCCACGCUCGACUACCGCCAGCGGCUACCGCCAUCCGGCGGUCAAUCCCGCCGCUGCCCCACGCGCCCUUCCUCUAUAGCAUCGCCCAACGCCGCCCUGUCCCUACAGCACAACCUAACUCCGUCCUGCCUCUCUCCGCCGCCGGUCCGACACCCUCGUGCUCUCUCUCUGGUUGGCCACCUCUCUCCAACAUCCCUGGCCUGGCCUGACCAUCUCCACCGUCCAGCUCACGAAGAUACACGCAGCGGCAGAUUUGGAUCAGGGCAGCGUGCGCCUGGUCAAGGGCAUCCCUCUCUGUCUUUGGCUGGGCAGGGGCAGCGAAGCGGCUGAGGAUGGAAAAUGGCAAGCGCAAGCGGAAAAGCUAAAGAUGGUGGGGUUACGGAGGAACAACUGAAAGUGGUAGAGUAUAAACUACAGAGAAGUACGACAUAAAUAAACACAGAUGCUGAAUCAAAACUGUAGUAUUCCAUCCACAUACCAAAACAGUAGUAUAUCACUGCAGCAGACUCUGUUCUGGACAUAAAUAAACACAUAUGCAUGUAAUCAUUCUCAAAACACAAACAAUGUGCUCCCUCCGUCCAAAAAUUUAUGUCUCAACUUUGGUACAACUUUGUACUAGAGUUAGUACAAAGUUGAGACACUUAUUUUGGGACGGAGGGAGUAUAAGAUAACAAAACAGUAGGCAAUGUUGUUGUAAACAUAUCUAGCCAUCAUAAAUCUCCUUACUUUUUUAUUAUAGUCUUACAGUGCUAUGACCAAAAAGAACUAGCAGGGUCACCCGCGCAUUUGCGUGGCUAGAUUAUUGUUUUUUUAUUGUGCACUAAGUUGAAAGUACUUAUUUGAAUGCUCAUGAUAGAUAUUACAAAUUACUAUGAUAUUUUAGGUGAAACUUCCUAUCAUCGUUUUAGAAUAUUGCUGAUGUGGUGCUGAAAAGGAUAUUCCACUUUUGAGACUUUAAAAUUAAAGUUCUACUUUAAACAAUGUAACUAGAAAUAUUCAUCAUUUAAGGGUUUUGUAACCGUCUAAAAGGUGUGGUACAUGUAUGUCAUGGAAGAGGUCGUGAUGCUUCGGCACCUGGCCUCUAAACCGCGUGCAACCGGCAUGCCAUCUAAUUUCUGAUGGGUAGGUAAAUUAUCUCAUCCGGCCACCUUCCUCUCUUUCUAUUCUUCCAUAGUCUUCUCCACUGCCAAAUCAUUGGCUUGACAUCCCUUUAGCUUGUAAAGCUUCAUCUGGGUUCCCUUUAUACCGAGCCGACACUUACGCCAAUAGAAAUAACUUCUGAUCAAGCACCACAUUGGGAGACAGUCAGCCUUGCAGGUGUCAUCUGGUCUAUAGUCUAGUGGCUGCACAUUUGUUCGGCUCGAUUUCCUGUGUGUUUUCAUACCUAAAUUAGCAUUAGGAUGUUGGUGUGGGAAGGUGGACUUGAAAAAUCACAUAAAAUAUUAUGGUAAAAAUACAGAAUGUGGAAACUCAUUUGUCAAAAGAAGAAAACAAUUGUAGCAUGUAUCUAUAUCAUGAGUUAAUGUUAGUAUACUGGAGUAAAUUUGUUUUAUUAUCUAUAACUGAAAAUCAUAUUGUGGUCCACAUAUGUCAUGCCUAACUAUAUAUUGGUCUCAGUCUCUUAACCACAAUUUUCAAGAAACAUCUGAGCAAAAUGUAAUACCCAACACUAAUGUCUAGUAUAGCCCCCUCAUUAUUAUUUCAGUGCAUUAUGCAAUAUAAUGUCGUCCAACUAAUGUGUAAGACAAUAAAAAUGUUUCUGUCUUUUUCUAAAAUAAAAGAUAACCUCACCUACUGAAUAUUGCCUUAUCUAUGUAGUAAUACAUAUUUUGGCAUAACUGUGUAUAUUCCUCUUGCAAGGUUCUUUAUUUUUCUCAAAGAAUAGCAUUAGCUUUUUCCUUAAGGAUAUUCAUCGAAGAAUUUUAUUAGUAUGUGUAGAAUGUAUCUCUUCACCCCACAAAAAAAGUAUCUCUUCACUCCUUAGUCCGUCACUUGCAUAUCCAAUUUACUUUUGUUAGACCUCAGAGUGAUAUGGAUCGUUUAAUCAGCUGACCAUGCUUGAUUGUUUCUAUUUAGAGAGCAGAUUCAUCGGUCACGGAUCAAAAAUAAAUUUUUUUAUCUGAUGCAAUCAAAUAAUAUUUUGUGUCUCCACAAAAAACGAUUUUGUAUAAAUUGUCACGUAGAGUUUGAUGUUGUCACAAGGUCCAUUGCAUGGCCAUCUAGCAAGGUAAUCACCAACAAUAUGUGUUUUGUCUACUUGGCUCAAAUUGUUUGAUGUGUCAUACUAAUUCAUGUUCACUUUGGUAGAUGAAACCCUACAAGCCAUGGGUAUCUUCCUCAUCCCGCCACUAAGGAACAUAGCAUUAUAAGACAAGAGGAAUAUGAAAGAACCACGAAGCUGUCAGUUUGCAUCAACUAGAUAUCUUCUGUAAUGGAGGAAAACCAAUGCUUCUUGUAGCUACCAUUUUGUAAAGGAUAUCUUGUGUAAGAGCAAGCAUUGAAUCGUCGGACAUGUAUCUAUCAUUUUAUAAACCUAUCGGGUGUAUCGGUCACCCAGACAAAUGUUUCCUCUUAUUUAGUUACUUCUAUUAUGAGAA